rnacentral:lncRNA from 1 species
UCGGAUUUCGCCCUUUUGCCUGACAUGGUGCAUCGUGUUUUCGGCCUGUAUCUCACCAUUACAUACUCUUCCUACAGGUGAUGCCUCAACAUGAGUUUCUUUCACAUCCCAACGAUUUGAACUUUCCCUUAAGAGGCACUUAAAUUGCAUACUAGAAUCAAUUGAACAACUUGCUUAAUUUAUUGAUACGCAGAUAAACGGCAUCAUGCAUUUAACCUCUACUGAUGAACGUUUUUCUCUCAGGACUGGUUCGGCAGCCAGGACCAGCAUCUUCACAAAAUAUUUCACCAUCCUCUGUAGUCUGUCCUGUUUAAUUGCUUAAAUUUGUACUAAGGAGAGGAUAUAUAUAGAAUCAAGGCUUUCUAGACUGUUC